UACGUAGGGGGCAAGCGUUGUCCGGAUUCAUUGGGCGUAAAGAGCGUGUAGGCGGCCAGGUAGGUCGGUUGUGAAAACUGGAGGCUCAACCUUCAGAGGUCGACCGAAACCAUCUGGCUAGAGUCCGGGAGAGGAGAGUGGAAUUCCUGGUGUAGCGGUGAAAUGCGCAGAUAUCAGGAAGAACACCCGUGGCGAAAGCGGCUCUCUGGAACGGUACUGACGCUGAGGAGCGAAAAGCUGGGGAGCAAACAGGAUUAGAACCUUCCGUAGUCAGUCC
rnacentral:rRNA from 1 species